UAGAAGUAAAAGUAUCACAAGGAAGAUCAUAAUCAUUAGUCUCUAACUCUGUGAAAUCAACUGACACUAGAUCUGGCUCAUCUAUAGAAAUUUCAGGAGGCAAGAAAGAAAGGAGAGAUGCUUGACGCUUGGUUGCCAUUGCAAGAAAUGAUUACAAAAUUAACAUUCAAAAUAUUCAUGAAAAGGUGGGCAUUGCCCCUUAAUGCCCACCCCUGGAACCGCCUAUGUCUCUAGCCCCCCCUAGAUCUGCCCCUGAAUACAUCUAAUUAUUACAGUGAAACUUUGACUUCGUUAAUGAACCAGGUGGUCAAACACAGGGAAAGA